UCCGGAGGAUCCAAGCGUUAUCCGGAAUCAUUGGGUUUAAAGGGUCCGUAGGCGGUUUUAUAAGUCAGUGGUGAAAUCCGGUAGCUCAACUAUCGAACGGCCAUUGAUACUGUAGAACUUGAAUUAUUGUGAAGUAACUAGAAUAUGUAGUGUAGCGGUGAAAUGCUUAGAUAUUACAUGGAAUACCAAUUGCGAAGGCAGGUUACUAACAAUACAUUGACGCUGAUGGACGAAAGCGUGGGGAGCGAACAGG
rnacentral:rRNA from 1 species